CAGAUAUCACCUUUCUCGGGAAUCCUGAAAAAGGAUAAACUGCGGGAAAUUCUGGAGCUAAAUACAUGCGAACUAUACUCCAACGCAAGGCGGGGGGCAAAUUAUUAGAACAGACCAAAACGUUUUCGGACGUUGUUUGUUGACUCUGAAUACCGUCGUUUACUGUCAGUUUCGACUGACUCUAUCCGAGAAGGGUGUCUGCCCUUUCAACUAGAUGGUAAUCUAUUGGACUACCAUGGUUGUUACGGGUAACGGAGAAUUAGGGUUCGACUCCGGAGAGGGAGCCUUAGAAACGGCUACCACGUCCAAGGAAGGCAGCAGGCGCGAAACUUAUCCACUGUUGAGUAUGAGAUAGUGACUAAAAAUAUAAAGACUCAUCCUUUUGGAUGAGUUAUUUCAAUGAGUUGAAUAUAAAUUAUUCUUCGAGUAGCAAGGAGAGGGCAAGUCUGGUGCCAGCAGCCGCGGUAAUUCCAGCUCUCCUAGUGUAUCUCGUUAUUGCUGCGGUUAAAAAGCUCGUAGUUAUAUCUAGGUUACGUGCCGCAGUUCGCAAUUUGCGUUAACUGUGGUCGUGACUUCUAAUUUGCUGGUUUGAGGUUGGGUUCGCCCUUCAACUGCCAGCAGGUUUACCUUGAAUAAAUCAGAGUGCUCAAUACAGGCGCUUGCUUGAAUAGCUCAUCAUGGAAUAAUGAAACAGGACUUCGGUUCUUUUUGUUGGUUCUAGAAUUGAUCUAAUGGUUAAGAGGGACAAACCGGGGGCAUUCGUAUCAUUACGCGAGAGGUGAAAUUCGUGGACCGUAGUGAGACGCCCAAUAGCGAAAGCAUUUGCCAAGAAUGUCUUCAUUAAUCAAGAACGAAAGUCAGAGGUUCGAAGGCGAUUAGAUACCGCCCUAGUUCUGACCGUAAACGAUGCCAUCUCGCGAUUCGGAGGGUUCAUGCCCUACCGAGGAGCUACCCGGAAACGAAAGUCUUUCGGUUCCGGGGGUAGUAUGGUUGCAAAGCUGAAACUUAAAGAAAUUGACGGAAGGGCACCACAAGGCGUGGAGCUUGCGGCUUAAUUUGACUCAACACGGGAAAACUCACCCGGUCCGGACACUAUUAGGACUGACAGAUUGAAAGCUCUUUCUCGAUUUGG
rfam:Caenorhabditis japonica strain DF5081 Contig16162.1, whole genome shotgun sequence.